rnacentral:rRNA from 1 species
GCUCGAGUGGCGAACGGGUGAGUAACACGUGAGUAACCUGCCCUUGACUUUGGGAUAACUUCAGGAAACUGGGGCUAAUACCGGAUAGGAGCUCCUGCUGCAUGGUGGGGGUUGGAAAGUUUCGGCGGUUGGGGAUGGACUCGCGGCUUAUCAGCUUGUUGGUGGGGUAGUGGCUUACCAAGGCUUUGACGGGUAGCCGGCCUGAGAGGGUGACCGGCAACAUUGGGACUGAGAUACGGUCCAG